rnacentral:rRNA from 1 species
AUAGUAUCUGUGGAUUAAAGGUGGCUUUUGGGCUGUCGCAGAUGGAUGAGCCUGCGUUGGAUUAGCUAGUUGGUGGGGUAAGGGCCUACCAAGGCUACGAUCCAUAGCUGAUUUGAGAGGAUGAUCAGCCACAUUGGGACUGAGACACGGCCCAAACUCCUACGGGAGGCAGCAGUGAGGAAUAUUGGACAAUGGGGGCAACCCUGAUCCAGCAAUGCCAUGUGUGUGAAGAAGGCCUUAGGGUUGUAAAGCACUUUAGUUGGGGAAGAAAGCUUUGAGGUUAAUAGCCUUGAGGAAAAGGACGUUACCCAAAGAAUAAGCACCGGCUAACUCCGUGCCAGCAGCCGCGGUAAUACGGGGGGUGCAAGCGUUAAUCGGAAUUACUGGGCGUAAAGGGUCUGUAGGUGGUUUGUUAAGUCAGAUGUGAAAGCCUAGGGCUCAACCUUGGAACUGCAUUUGAUACUGGUAAACUAGAGUACGGUAGAGGAAUGGGGAAUUUCUGGUGUAGCGGUGAAAUGCGUAGAGAUCAGAAGGAACACCAAUGGCGAAGGCAACAUUCUGGACCGAUACUGACACUGAGGGACGAAAGCGUGGGGAUCAAACAGGAUUAGAUACCCUGGUAGUCCACGCUGUAAACGAUGAGUACUAGCUGUUGGAGUCGGUGUAAAGGCUCUAGUGGCGCAGCUAACGCGAUAAGUACUCCGCCUGGGGACUACGGCCGCAAGGCUAAAACUCAAAGGAAUUGACGGGGACCCGCACAAGCGGUGGAGCAUGUAGUUUAAUUCGAUGCAACGCGAAGAACCUUACCUGGUCUUGACAUCCUGCGAUCUUUCUAGAGAUAGAUUGGUGCCUUCGGGAACGCAGUGACAGGUGCUGCACGGCUGUCGUCAGCUCGUGUUGUGAAAUGUUGGGUUAAGUCCGCAACGAGCGCAACCCCUAUUGAUAGUUACCAUCAUUAAGUUGGGUACUCUAUUAAGACUGCCGCUGACAAGGCGGAGGAAGGUGGGGACGACGUCAAUUCAUCAUGCCCUUACGACCAGGGCUACA